CUGCUCAAUCCAGGAAUUACAGAACCAUGUCCAUCUACAUGUUGGACAGAUGAAUAACCCUCAAUAUGAUUUCCAGAAGCAGGAGAAUUAUGUCCAUCAAAAGAAGAGAAGGAGGUAAAAUCAAUACCAGUGGUGACAUGGGCAGCAGUAGGUCUCAUCCCUUUGUUAAACAUGAUGCUUUGAGGAAAUCCAUGAAGUUUGUAACACUGAUCAAUUAAAGACCCAGAGUUCUUGCAAUAUAUACAGAAGAGAGGUUCUCUGGACUGAUCAAAAGUAACUCUCU
rnacentral:lncRNA from 1 species